rnacentral:lncRNA from 1 species
AUGCUUGCACCAGCUUCUGUUCAUCACGAGACUCCACCUGUUAUGUGUCUGUCUUUCAGGUUCACCUUGCAAACCCUGCUGAACAGCGUGGGAUCAUCUGAGCUUUCCAAAUUCAAUGUGAUUGCCACAGUUGAAGACUACUCCCUGAAAGGGACCAAAAUCACAGCAGGCUUUGCUAAUAAGGCUGUAACUUCACGAGAUUUGCACUGUAACUUUGAGGAAAUUUCUACAUGUUGGUCAAUCCACAAGCAAUUGAAAGAAUAAUAUACAGAGGGCCUGCAGAGGACCACGGAUGUUACGGGUACAAUGUUCCCCACUCCACACUAUUCACUUUCUUAUUCUAAUACUUAAAAUUGCUUUCUGAAAUCUGCCAAGAGGGUCAGAUCCACUGUUAAAUGGAUUUCAAGGCAUUUGAGCAGAUAAGAGCCCAUAGAAACUUCUGAGCUCUAAAGAACAAACCCAACAAUUUGAAGCCUCUACUUCAACUGAAGGAAAUGAGACGUCUGGAAGGCAGGUGACACUGUAUUUUCUUAAUCAAAUUUUUCUGACAAAUAGACUCAUAAAACUAUGCAAAAUAUUAUAAUUGAUUUUCUUUUUUUUUAAGUACUCUACUUACAUGCUGAUAUAUCUUAAAAUGUCAUCCCAAUGUUGUAUUAACAUGGUAGAAUUUAAGUUUACAACUUUGGUGUAGCAAAAUGGAUGACUUUUCUAGAGACAAAACAGGCCUUUGGAAAGUACAAAAUAGAUAUACUUAGAAAAUGAGUGAAGGUACUCUCCCAUUUGAGUACACAAAUACAGUAAACAUUCACGGAGAUUAUUCAUCUGAGACAAUCUGUAUUAAUUUUUAAUGAGACAGGUAAAAUAGCAGCUUGAAGAGAACAUUUAUCUUACUUUAUCUGGUCUGCCAAUAUCCUGAAUAGUGCUGGUUCAAUUGCUAUAUGACUUCAACAACCUUCUGCUCUAAACCAGAACACAUGAUAGAUAUGACUUAAUUUCUUCCAGAAUACUUCUCAAAGAAAAUCAGUGUCUUAAAUUAUUUAUCUCAUACAACUUGCACAGUGGUAUAGGCUUUCUUUUUUCCUUCUAUAGUGGUCAUCCCCUUUACAGCCAUCAUUAACUCAUUUUUUCUCAGUCCCUCUCUAAGUGUGAUCAGAUUUUUCAACAAUUAUACAAAUACUUAAAAAACUGGUUCCACAACUCCAUAGGAUGAAUCAUUGCCCUUAUUUUUUCCAGUCCAUCUUCAAAAAUUCCAUGCUUUUUGAAAAUGAUUGCUUUCAUGUCCAGCUUUUCCAAUAGGAACUCUGAGGGAAAGGCUGCUGCCUAACAGAAAACUACUGGUCUCAUCAUGAAGAGGCUGAGCUAGAAACUCUUUACUGAGCUCGUAUUUGCUCCUCCCUGCCCAGAACUCCUAAGACAUUGCUGAGGAUCCUUGGAUUGACUGCCUGUGCUCCACACCUGGAGCUGAGAUCCAUCCCAGCUCUGGGAUCUUGAGCCAGCUGCUGAAGGAUGCUGCCGUGAGAAGCACAUGUCUGGUUAAUUAUUCUUAAAUGAUCAUAUUUUCUGUGAUCUUUUAUUUUGUCUGAUCCUUGACCCUUUUAGGCCAAGAAGGCAAACCUGAAAAUGAAGUUUAUAAUUUUGAUUUAAUUGCAUAUGAAAUCUUUUACUAAUAUGUAAGCAUUUAAUGAAAAAAAUAGAGUCCUAUGUAAUUUCUUAAACUUUUAAAAGUCAUAGUCUCUGUUAAGUUGUUUUACAAUGUGACUUUAAAUAUACCUCCAGCAAAGACCUUUACAGAAAGUUUGUGAAAUCAGUGUGUUACGUAAAAUAUUUAGAUAUAAAUUUUUGCAAGUUUGUCACUUGUUACUUUGUGUAAAGAAAUUCUGCAUUAUGAUGGUUCUUUCUGAAAGUAGGUGUUUGUACAUGUACAUUGUGGACCUGUCAAAAAUGAUGUUUAACUGCUCAUUGUGGUGACUCUUGAACUGAUAUGAUGAUGUAAAUCCUGGGAAGUCUUUACAUAAUUUUCUUCUUAAGCUAUGUGCAUAAAGAUGACUAUUCUGAAUAUAAAGAAAUCAGAAUGGCAUUUAAUAGCAAUGAUAUUCAGGAUGUAUAUGCAUCAUUUUAUUUUCUAAAAGCACAAUAAAAAACUUAGCUUCCCUCA